GAUGAACGCUGGCGGCGUGCCUAAUACAUGCAAGUCGAGCGAACGGACGAGAAGCUUGCUUUUCUGAUGUUAGCGGCGGACGGGUGAGUAACACGUGGAUAACCUACCUAUAAGACUGGGAUAACUUCGGGAAACCGGAGCUAAUACCGGAUAAUAUUUUGAACCGCAUGGUUCAAAAGUGAAAGACGGUCUUGCUGUCACUUAUAGAUGGAUCCGCGCCGCAUUAGCUAGUUGGUAAGGUAACGGCUUACCAAGGCAACGAUGCAUAGCCGACCUGAGAGGGUGAUCGGCCACACUGGAACUGAGACACGGUCCAGACUCCUACGGGAGGCAGCAGUAGGGAAUCUUCCGCAAUGGGCGAAAGCCUGACGGAGCAACGCCGCGUGAGUGAUGAAGGUCUUCGGAUCGUAAAACUCUGUUAUUAGGAAAGAACAUAUGUGUAAGUAACUGUGCACAUCUUGACGGUACCUAAUCAGAAAGCCACGGCUAACUACGUG
rnacentral:rRNA from 1 species